CAACAUAAUUCCCUUGGAAUUCAGCAAAAGAAGCAAACAACAAACAAAUAUUUUGUUCUAUGAUUAAGGGAUUAAUUAACGUGAGCAGCAAAUGACUACAAGGUAUUUUGGUUGUUUUUAUCAAAAGGAAAUAAUUUAUAACGUGUAAGAGGUCUUGAGCAAGUUAGGAAAAUUUUAUAUUGAUUGUGUUGGAAGGCAUCAUAUAUAUAUUUCCGCACCAGCACCAAAACGUAAAGGAGAAGUGUUUGUAUGAAGGGCAACUAAGUAUGCUUUCAUUCUUCUAUAAUUAUUUCUUCAACGAGUUUAUGAUUCUAACGCUAGUUCCCUCCGGACCAUGGUGAAUCGGACCAUGGUGAAUCGGAGAUUUCUUCGAAGUGAAGUAAGAUGAAAGAAGAGUAAUUCUUGGCAUAUAAGGUUUGGCAUAUUAAUUGUGGAAGUUCGUGGUUGGACUGAGUUCUUGAACGACGUGAGGUACAGAUAGUCGGUUUGGUGACCCUUCAGCAUAGGACUUCCACUCAGCUGUCUUGGAGAGCUCUGUUGUUCCGGAGCCUAGACUUUUGGUACAGAUCUUAUGAUGUACGUAUAUGUUUACCCAGGGGUACAGCGGGUCCCUGUCCCGUCGCAUUUCGCUAUCGAUACUCUUAGAGGUCUGUAGCCAUGUGUGUGGGUUGUGUAUAAGUUUGUUCAGCUGUGUCUAUACGAGGUGCUAUGGACAUGUUCGUAUGUAGUGGCAGCCUUGUCGGCUUGCGCAUGAUAUUGAUAUGUAGUGGCAGCCUUGUUGGCUUGUGUAUCAUUUUAUGUUUUGACUAGUUGUGACUCCUCAUGAGACAGGUUAUCUGAGUAUGUAUAUAUAUGAUGACGUUAUGAACCUUUGGGGUUCUUA